rnacentral:rRNA from 1 species
GACGAACGCUGGCGGCGUGCUUAACACAUGCAAGUCGAGCGGUAAGGCCCUUUCGGGGGUACGACGAGCGGCGAACGGGUGAGUAACACGUGGGUGACCUGCCCUCAGCUCUGGGAUAAGCCUGGGAAACCGGGUCUAAUACUGGAUAUGACUCCAUGACGCAUGUUGUGGGGUGGAAAGUCUUGUGCGGCUGAGGAUGGGCCCGCGGCCUAUCAGCUUGUUGGUGGGGUGAUGGCCUACCAAGGCGACGACGGGUAGCCGGCCUGAGAGGGCGACCGGCCACACUGGGACUGAGACACGGCCCAGACUCCUACGGGAGGCAGCAGUGGGGAAUCUUGCGCAAUGGGCGAAAGCCUGACGCAGCGACGCCGCGUGAGGGAUGACGGCCUGGUGUAACUACUUC